UACGUAGGGUGCGAGCGUUGUCCGGAAUUAUUGGGCGUAAAGGGCUCGUAGGCGGUCUGUCGCGUCGGGAGUGAAAACUCAGGGCUUAACCCUGAGCCUGCUUCCGAUACGGGCAGACUAGAGGUAUGCAGGGGAGAACGGAAUUCCUGGUGUAGCGGUGAAAUGCGCAGAUAUCAGGAGGAACACCGGUGGCGAAGGCGGUUCUCUGGGCAUUACCUGACGCUGAGGAGCGAAAGGUGUGGGGAGCGAACAGG
rnacentral:rRNA from 1 species